rnacentral:lncRNA from 1 species
AAAGUAGGCAUGUAGAUUACUAAAGGUUACAAUCCUAGGGAACAUUUUAAAAUUGUAUACCAGCAGUUUAUAAGUUAAAGACUUGAAUAAGUGUAUUUCUUGGGAAAAAUAAUACUUAAUUUUUACAAGUGAGACAAUUUAGUUGGAAAAUACUUGUGUUCAAUUCUUGAGCUAGUUGGAUUCUCUCUUUGCAGAUUUGAGAAGUAGACCAUGAUGACUGAUGUGAACUUCUAAAGGACAGACCAGAGCAGGCAACAUUCCCUAUAUCACAUUUGCUAACUGAAAAUGAAAGAAGAAACAAAAUGUGUCCCUGAUGUUUGAAAAGAGAUAAUGAAGUCACCAACAAGUACAGAGGUAAUAAUUUGAUAUCUAGAAAUACAUAAAACAAUACCAUAAUCUUUAUGAGUAUUAAAUGAAAGUACUAGAUUUCAAAUAAAUUUCUUAUCAAUAUUCCUGAUGCAGAACAGUCAUUCAGAAUGG